rnacentral:tRNA from 1 species
GCGCUGGUAGCUCAGCUGGAUAGAGCACUUGACUACGAAUCAAGCGGCCAGGGGUUCGAAUCCUCUCCAGCGCACCA